CUAAGAAUCUUCCGCAAUGGGGGCAACCCUGACGGAGCGACGCCGCGUGGACGAUGAAGGCCGUAAGGUUGUAAAGUCCUUUUGCAGGUGAAGAAUAAGCCGGGGAGUGGAAAGCCCUGGUGAUGACGUUAGCCUGCGAAUAAGCCCCGGCCAAUUACGUGCCAGCAGCCGCGGUAAUACGUAUGGGGCAAGCGUUGUUCGGAGUUAUUGGGCGUAAAGGGCGUGCAGGCGGCUCGAGAAGUCUGGUGUGAAAUCGCAGGGCCCAACCCUGCGGGUGCGCUGGAAACUGACGGGCUUGAGUCCCGGGGGGGAAGCUGGAAUUCCUGGUGUAGGAGUGAAAUCUGUAGAGAUCAGGAAGAACACCGGUGGCGAAGGCGAGCUUCUAUUCGAGGACUGACGCUGAGGCGCG
rnacentral:rRNA from 1 species